UACGUAGGGUGCAAGCGUUAAUCGGAAUUACUGGGCGUAAAGCGAGCGCAGACGGUUACUUAAGCAAGAUGUGAAAUCCCCGAGCUCAACUUGGGAACUGCGUUUUGAACUGGGUAGCUAGAGUGUGUCAGAGGGGGGUAGAAUUCCACGUGUAGCAGUGAAAUGCGUAGAGAUGUGGAGGAAUACCGAUGGCGAAGGCAGCCCCCUGGGAUAACACUGACGUUCAUGCUCGAAAGCGUGGGUAGCAAACAGG
rnacentral:rRNA from 1 species